CUAACAAGGAUUCCCCUAGUAACGGCGAGUGAAGAGGGAAAAGCUCAAAUUUGAAAUCUGGCAGUCUUGCGGCUGUCCGAGUUGUAAUCUAGAGAAGUGUUUUCCGUGCUGGACCGUGUACAAGUCCUUUGGAACAAGGCGUCAUAGAGGGUGAGAAUCCCGUCUACGACACGGACUCCCAGUGCUCUGUGAUACACUCUCAACGAGUCGAGUUGUUUGGGAAUGCAGCUCAAAAUGGGUGGUAAAUUCCAUCUAAAGCUAAAUAUAGGCGAAAGACCGAUAGCGAACAAGUACCGUGAGGGAAAGAUGAAAAGCACUUUGGAAAGAGAGUUAAACAGUACGUGAAAUUGUUGAAAGGGAAACGCUUGAAGUCAGUCGCGUCUUCAGAAACUCAGCCUGGCUUUUGCCUGGUGUACUUUUCUGUUGGACGGGCCAGCAUCAGUUUCGGCCGCCAGAAAAAGGUGGGAGGAAGGUGGCACCCUCGGGUGUGUUAUAGCCUCUCAUCGUAUGUGGCGGCUGGGACUGAGGAAUGCAGCACGCCUUCAAUGGCCGGGGUUCGCCCACGUAACGUGCUUAGGAUGCUGGCGUAAUGGCUUUAAACGACCCGUCUUGAAACACGGACCAAGGAGUCUAACAUGCCUGCGAGUAUUUGGGUGGUAAACCCAUAUGCGGAAUGAAAGUGAACAGUUGGGACUUCUGUCAUGGAAGGCACCGACGCCCGGACCAGACCUACUGUGACGGAUCCGAGGUAGAGCAUGUAUGUUGGGACCCGAAAGAUGGUGAACUAUGCCUGAGUAGGGUGAAGCCAGAGGAAACUCUGGUGGAGGCUCGUAGCGAUUCUGACGUGCAAAUCGAUCGUCGAACUUGGGUAUAGGGGCGAAAGACUAA
rnacentral:rRNA from 1 species